rnacentral:sRNA from 1 species
GAUACUGCAAAGAGAUUUUUCACAAGCUUACAUAUAUCUACAUCUGAAUAUAUAUAUCAACCUAAUAAGUUUUGGCUGCGAAGAGAAAACUUUGCCAAAUACCAAUGUCCCAGAAAAAACGUCUGCAGGUAUAAACUUUAAUUGAGGAAUUUUGGGGAUUUUAUCCCCGGCAUAAAAGAAGUAAUUUUUUCCUUUCCAAUUUGUGUUUUUUGGGCGCGACCGGCAUUUAAUGCCAAUACUAUAAAUAUUAUGAUUAUGUGGACCGUACAUGAGCGCAGUUAUACAUUUUGCGCGUCCGCCGCUCUUAAAAUGUUGUCUUUAACCGAAAAAUAAAAAAAAAAACGCAGCGGGGAAAAAGCCAAAAACAAAAACCAAAGACCGAAAAGUAAUUUCUUGCACGACAUUAAUUUCUUUUAAAUUACGCAUAAUUGAAGUACGGGCACUCGAAGUUGAUCGAUGGUCGAUACUCGAACAGAAACGAGUUGUCCGUACCCAUACCCUCCAAAUGUUUUCAGAGGUGCGGUGCACAGCCCCGCCUUCUCUUCCGCCUCCCGCUCGUUGAUCGCAGAGAAAUUACAAAAAUAUUGCUCGGCCAUAAUAAUUUAAUAUUUGUACGCGUUUUUCCAUAUGAGGAGGCCAUGUUCUUGGGACAAUCAGGCCGGCAUUGACAUUCGAAUUGGACACCUGACAACAGAAUAUAUCAAAGUCACUCCGGGGACUUUGCCGUAAUUCGACGACUUCUUCUAUUCCCCAUUGAAGUCGAUUUGAUAUUUGAUUUGAUUUUGUUUCACUCUUUUGUGCUCGUCGUGGGCUGACCUGUCAGUCAGUAUGAAAUUUCAUAUUGUAGUCGACUGGGGUCUCAGUGGUAUUUAGCUUUAUAUUUGGGCCUGCUUUGGCGGCUUUGUUAGCGCGAUAAGCGGAUUUUUUAUUACAUCAGUUUAGUGUCACAUUAGCGCUGUGCCGAAGUGCGCCCAUGCAUUCAUUCAGCUGGGAUCUGUGUGGGGGUGACAGAUUUCUAUAUCGGAGGUAUCCUAUCCCAUUCAAUGGCCAUGGUCUUGCGUACUUCUCAUACUUCUCAGCCACAACUCACAGCGAUCAACAAGUUCUUCCGUCGACCCAAUCUCAAUCUGCAUCAGGAUCUGUGGCCCUGCCUUUGGCUCUUUGCCACACGUACGAGCUUGCUGCCACAUCCAUAUCCGAGCAGGUCCAAGUCGAAUCACAUGAAAUCUUUCGGGAAAACACAGAGGGGAACUUAUGAAUUUCUUAAUUUUUCUGCAAAACUCACUCGCAGCGAGGAGUUGCCCUGAUCUUUUUUAUGGCAUUUCGUUUUGCCGCGAUGCUAUCAGUUGGUUUUUGUUUCAGGUUUGGUCUUUAAAUUGUCUCGAAUCCAGCGGUCGGUCGGUGGGUCGAUUCACCGCAUGAAUCAUGGGCCAGUUAAAACCGAAUUCCUAAAUGUUCGCUUACGUUUCUUACUUUGCAGGGUCAACGUAUUUGACACUUGUAACCUAAUUUAAUUCCUCGAAAGCAAUAAUUAUCAGCACGUGAAAUCUGCAGUUGUGAAUUGAUCGCAUUUACUGCUCCUUAUUUAUAUAUUUUAUUUUAGCAGUAAUACUUUGCGUUAAGCAUCAGAAUUUACGUAAGACACCCAAAUGGUUAUACUUGUGGGCUGUUGCUAUUUUUUUGGAUGGCGCACUGGAUGCAUUAUAAGUUCAGUAUGGCUGAUUCUAUACUACGGAUUAAUGGCAUACUUUAUGCACUAUCAAAUGAUCCAUUCUCAAAAGGCUAUCAUAGACUUAAAUACUCGCGAAUAUAAAAAGGAAACUACAGGCUAUUGGGUAUUGGGCGUUUCGUUCAUCCUCAUGGCUUUUGUAACUGUGUUUCUGUUGAUCGGAGCUAUCACGAGGAAAUAUGAAUUUCUUUUUCUGUUUUUACUGGCGCAAUUGCCUUCCUUUUUAGUGGAAUCAUUCUAUCUGUUGACAGCCAUUAUAUACGGCAUAGAAUUCGAAAGUUUUAUAAUAUAUCUUGUUCCCUUUGGAAUUCUGAUUUACAUCGAUCUAGUUGUUUGUUCAUAUUUGUAUGAACUAAAAAGUCUUAAAAGGAUGAGAUCUGUGUCACAAUUUACCAUAGAAUAUUGAGAUCAUUUUGCCAAUUUAGAGUCCAUUAUAAAUUUGUUCGGCGUCCAA